GGCGGCGUGCUUAACACAUGCAAGUCGAACGAUGAUGCCCAGCUUGCUGGGUGGAUUAGUGGCGAACGGGUGAGUAACACGUGAGUAACCUGCCCCUGACUCUGGGAUAAGCGUUGGAAACGACGUCUAAUACUGGAUAUGAUCACUGGCCGCAUGGUCUGGUGGUGGAAAGAUUUUUUGGUUGGGGAUGGACUCGCGGCCUAUCAGCUUGUUGGUGAGGUAAUGGCUCACCAAGGCGACGACGGGUAGCCGGCCUGAGAGGGUGACCGGCCACACUGGGACUGAGACACGGCCCAGACUCCUACGGGAGGCAGCAGUGGGGAAUAUUGCACAAUGGGCGAAAGCCUGAUGCAGCAACGCCGCGUGAGGGAUGACGGCCUUCGGGUUGUAAACCUCUUUUAGUAGGGAAGAAGCGAAAGUGACGGUACCUGCAGAAAAAGCACCGGCUAACUACGUGCCAGCAGCCGCGGUAAUACGUAGGGUGCAAGCGUUGUCCGGAAUUAUUGGGCGUAAAGAGCUCGUAGGCGGUUUGUCGCGUCUGCUGUGAAAUCCCGAGGCUCAACCUCGGGCUUGCAGUGGGUACGGGCAGACUAGAGUGCGGUAGGGGAGAUUGGAAUUCCUGGUGUAGCGGUGGAAUGCGCAGAUAUCAGGAGGAAC
rnacentral:rRNA from 1 species